GAUGAAGAACGCAGCGAAAUGCGAUAAGUAAUGUGAAUUGCAGAAUUCAGUGAAUCAUCGAAUCUUUGAACGCACAUUGCGCCCGCCAGUAUUCUGGCGGGCAUGCCUGUUCGAGCGUCAUUACAACCCUCAGGCCCCCGGGCCUGGCGUUGGGGAUCGGCGGAAGCCCCCUGCGGGCAAACGCCGUCCCCCAAAUACAGUGGCGGUCCCGCCGCAGCUUCCAUUGCGUAGUAGCUAACACCUCGCAACUGGAGAGCGGCGCGGCCACGCCGUAAAACACCCAACUUCUGAAUGUUGACCUCGAAUCAGGUAGGAAUACCCGCUGAACUUAAGCAUAUCAAUAAGCGGAGGA
rnacentral:misc_RNA from 1 species